rnacentral:misc_RNA from 1 species
GAUGAAGAACGUAGUGAAAUGCGAUACUUGGUGUGAAUUGCAGAAUCCCGUGAACCAUCGAGUCUUUGAACGCAAGUUGCGCCUGAAGCCUCGGCUAAGGGCACGUCUGCCUGGGCGUCACGCAUCGCGUCUCCCCCAAACCGCCAAGGCGGAGGGGAAGGAAGAUGGCUUCCCGUGCCUCACCCGGCGCGGUUGGCCUAAAUUUGGAGCCCGCGGCACUUAGCUCACGCGGCGAUAGGUGGUGAACAAGGCCUUGGCCGUGCAAACAACCCGCUGCGAAGCUCUAUGUCACGUGCGCUCGUCGGACCCUUUGAAGUUGCCUUCGGUGACUUAAAACCUUUGCGACCCCAGGUCAGGCGGGGCUACCCGCUGAAUUUAAGCAUAUCAAUAAGCGGAGGA